ensembl:miRNA mir-793 miscRNA
UGGUUGGUAAAAGUCUGUUUAACUAUUGUACAUCACAAUUUUCACUGCGAAAAAUUGAGGUAUCUUAGUUAGACAGACAUAUACUACAACCA